CAGACACGUCUGCAACGAUUUAGUUUAUAUAUUAUUAUAAAUACUACCUUUUCCACAUUGAAAUGAUGAUACGUUGCGUUGUAACGGGAUGUUCAACCAAAACCGGGAAAGGACAAGCAGUAAGUUUUCAUCAUUUGCCGCGGUGUAAACAAUGGCUGCGGGCUAUCAACCACGCAAAGUUCAGAGAAGACAACGAUGCGGUAAAAUUGAAAUACCUGAGGGUUUGCAGUCUCCAUUUCAAGCUGGAAGAUAUCGAACCCAAUGUACUCGGAAUGAAGCGAAACACGCUAAAGGACACUGCGAUUCCGUCUAUAUGUACCUUCACAGACACGACGAACAGCCGGGGCCAUCUGGCAUCAAACGCAUUCGUCUACGUUAGAGGUUUCCGGAAGAAGAUGCAGGAGAAGGGGAAAAAAGAACAAUGAAAUCCUCCUUGCAUGGACCAGGUCUGUCAUAAAUCAUAUGUGGUUUUCCUGUGCAACCAGUAAGGGGGACGUCGAGGAGAAGCACGGUUCAACCAAAUGUUCUGCAAGAAAUCCAAGCAGUGGGUCUUGAAGAAAAGCUUCAUACCACACACCACACAGUUUGUAGACGAACUCAUCCAGAAGGCCAUUGACAAGACUCAAUCCAAACAUUGUGUUCAAAGUGCCAACCUCCUCACUUGCCCUGCCACAGCCUGCGCUGCCACCCAACAUUGCACCAGUGCCUAAACCAUCAAAGGAGGCUGCCACGACUUUUCAAAAGUCGCUUCUGAGACUGACACUUUCUAAUAAUAAUAAUAAUCACCUCUUCCCCGAGUCCUAUUGCUGUAUCUAAUCAGAUUCUGCUGCCACCACUCUUUAUAUUUAUAUUAUUAUAUACUGUGUGUAUAUAUACACAAUGUUUUUGUAUAUAUUUUUGCUUUGUUUUUAUUUUGUGCAGGACAUUUUUAGAUGUAAAUUAUGUCAUUGUUUAUUUUAAUGUGUUCUUUUCACUGGUGACACAAUAUUUUUCCUUUGUGAAUAAUAGAAAAUAAAUAUCUUCAUCUAACUCUGUCUUUUGUACACCAAAUUUAUACAUUAUAGACUU